ACCAUCGCAUACAACCUCGCCGCCGCUGUGAGCCUCCGGUCCGCCGCGCUUCACCGUUGCUCUUAGUCUUUUUUCCGAUCGCCGCCUCCCCUCUUCGAAGGCCGGUUGAGGUCACCCGACAAGUUAAACACUUCGAAGAGAACCAUUCCGUUCGAUUUCUCGCUUAAUUAGUCGGGCAGAGAAGCUUGAAGGUGAUCUAUCAAGGUCGCCGCCGUCGACUGGAAUUUCAUAAUUUCCUCCGCAUAUGGGUACGCCUAUGAUAUUAUAUUCAAAUUUCAGGAGAUUAUAUUUUGUUUUCAGUAUGAAUAUGCUACAAAAUAGUUUGCGAUUUUAUGGUAUUUGAUGGUUUGUAUUUCUCAUUGCUCAAUAUCUAAGAUUAUCAAUCCCAAUAAUAAACUAAGAUAUAGAUUCAGACUCUCUCAAAAUUAUAUCUCCAUAACUUCUCUCAAGAACAUAAACUUUGCAGCAUGAAUUUUAAACAUUUAUUUGUUUCCAAAUUGGAUGUCCUAUCACCUUGUAAGUAAAAAAUAUGCAUGAGAUGUUUUACGGGUCGAUAUCUAAAUAUAAAUCGAUAGUAAAUUAUAUAUUUAUAAAUUUACUAGCAGCUAGAACAUAGUACAUAUUAUUGAAUGUGGCUUAAUUGUGUAAUUUAUCAAAAUAAAAUUAGUAAGGCAUAGUUAUAUUUUAAUUUAUUUUUUGAGAGAAAAAAAGGCAUAAUUUAAUUCAAAAUUUUGUGCUCCAAUUAUAUUCGGGAAAACAUAAAAAGUUGAGAGGUGAAAAUUCAUGUGAGGGGCAGGAGCACAUCUCACGAUUUUGGGUUACAAUUUUCUAGAGAGUAGCAAUAUUGAGUGGCCUUUGUCAGUUUGAGGAAGACAAUUGAGAUGAUUGUAAUUAAUACACUGUGAAGUAAACUAUACUAGAAUUUUGGAUGUUGAUUUCAAUGGUAUAUAUAUAUUUUUUUGUUUAGUGUAUAAUUCAUCACUAUCCUUUUUUCUGUAAUCGUCGGAUACCUACCAUAUUCUUGAUGUAUAGUCUUGAUACGAAGAGAGAAGAAAAGAGUCGGUUUUACACUUUACCUUUACCUGGUAGGUUGCAUGAAACAAUAAGUACUAUAAUUCGACGCUCUAAGAAGUAGAAACUUAAGAAAUAGUUCUAUUUGCUUAUAUAUAUAUGUAUAUAUAUUUAUUUUAUAUAUAUGUCUUUGUGUCAUGUUACGAGAAGGCUGCUGAUAUUCUUCCAUCUCAUUUUGCCGCUGAUGGAAGAAAGAGUUUGCUUCAAAUUCUUGCCCAUGUAGUUUUUUUUUCCACGGGAGUCAUGUAGUUUUUUUGCUGUUUUUUUGGGGGUCUUUUUUUUUGUUAUCUACUUAAUUAUGGGUUUAAUUUAUCAUUUUUGCUUAACCCCUUUGAGCUCCUAAGAGACCUCCUAUCAUCAUGUUUGGAGUUUUCUAAUUUCUUAGCACUGGCAUAUAUAUUACAAGAGGCAUAUAUAUUGUUUAUUUCAUACUGCACACACACAUAUAUAUAUAUGAUUGAGUUUUGUAAUCGCAGUUGCAUUUCAUUUUUAUCAACACUUACAUAUAUGACACAUUCAAAUGAUCGAGCAUUAUAUAUUUAUGAAAUUUGGUGUGCCUAUUAUUGUAUAUGGUUGUGGGGUGGAUUUAGGCUUUGAUGAGGAAUCAAAAAAUGAGAUUCAUACCAAGAAUUUCUAUUAGUAGAAGAAAAUUGAUCUCAUGUAGUAUAUU